UACGGGGGGAGCAAGCGUUGUUCGGAUUUACUGGGCGUAAAGGGCGCGUAGGCGGCUUGACAAGUCCCGGGUGAAAUCCCUCGGCUCAACCGAGGAACUGCCUUGGAAACUGUCUGGCUUGAGGCCGGGAGAGGGUAGUGGAAUUCCCAGUGUAGCGGUGAAAUGCGUAGAUACUGGGAGGAACACCGGUGGCGAAGGCGGCUACCUGGACCGGUUCUGACGCUGAGGCGCGAAAGCGUGGGUAGCAAACAGG
rnacentral:rRNA from 1 species